GGAGUAGUAGCUCAGUGGUAGAGCCCCCGCCCAUUAUGCGGGAAGACCUGGGUUCGAUUUCCGGCUGCUUCC
rnacentral:tRNA from 1 species